UCCGAGUUGACCCCGGCAGUCUCCUAUGAGUCCCCACCAUCACGUGCUGGCAACAUAGAACGAGGGUUGCGCUCGUUGCGGGACUUAACCCAACAUCUCACGACACGAGCUGACGACAGCCAUGCAGCACCUGUGCACGGACUCCGAAGAGGAACCGAUGUUUCCACCGGCUUUCCCGUGCAUGUCAAGCCCAGGUAAGGUUCUUCGCGUUGCUUCGAAUUAAGCCACAUACUCCACCGCUUGUGCAGGCCCCCGUCAAUUUCUUUGAGUUUCAACCUUGCGGUCGUACUUCCCAGGUGGGAUACUUAAUGCUUUCGCUCAGACACACACUGUGUAUCGCGUAUGUCGAGUAUCCAUCGUUUAGGGCGUGGACUAC
rnacentral:misc_RNA from 1 species